UACGUAGGCAGCAAGCGUUGUUCGGAAUUACUGGGCGUAAAGAGUGUGUAGGCGGUGCUCUAAGUCUGUUGUGAAAUCUCCCGGCUUAACCGGGAGGGUGCGUCGGAAACUGGAGUGCUUGAGGGUGGGAGAGGUAAGCGGAAUUCCUGGUGUAGCGGUGAGAUGCGUAGAUAUCAGGAGGAACACCGGUGGCGAAGGCGGGUCUCUGGGCCGAAACUGACGCUGAGGAGCGAAAGCGUGGGGAGCAAACAGG
rnacentral:rRNA from 1 species